AGCUCCAUCUCCCCACCCCCUGCACUCCCUCUGCUCCCCUCCCCUCCUCCGGCGCAGACCCUCCCCUCUCCCCUCCAGCCUGGACACGCCCGCCUCCCCUUGACUCCCCCCAGCUCUGGGCCCCCACCUCCCCUCCCCUCCAGCACAGUCACCCCCAUUUCUCUCCUAUCCGCCAUCCUGGUUCCUCCCUUCCCCCCACCUCCCAACUCUGUGCCCCGCCAACGUUUCCUAAAUGCCCUCUAUUCAGAUCCCCCCUCCGCCUCCCCUCUCCUCUCCUCCAUUCCUGCGUCCCCCUUCCCCCGCCGCGCCGCCUGGGCUGUCCGUGGACUUCUCCCACUCUCUCACUCUCUCACUCACUCUCUCUCUCUCUCUCUCUCUCUCACUCUCUCUCUCUCUCUCCCCCUCAUUUAUUUGGAACCGUUGGAUAAGAAGUGCUCGGGCUCUCGCUCAGACUUAGGGAGCUGCCUCGAGGUGAUGAAUGACACCCCCUGGCACCAGCUACCCUUCUCAGACCCCAGUCCAGCCCGCUCCCGACGUCGACUACGAUUCCGCUACCUCGGCUGGCAGCGAGGUUGGGGUGAGCCCCAGCUGCAGGCGCGUCUGGGCUGCGCCGCUGCAAACGAGUUGCGCACCUUGGGCGGCUCCGCACCUGCACCCGCACCCGCGGGGCUCAGCCCCGAAGGCUGCAGCUUCGGGGGAGGCGCGGUCGCCGAGGUCCAGCUGGUGGGGCGAGAGACGUCGCCCCUCGGAGGAUGCUCUCGGAACUUGGGAGAGGAAGGAGGGAAGAGAAGAGGGGAAAGGGGCCGUCGAUGUUUUUGAUGUCUGUGCUUUAAUGGAGGCCACCAAUAUUGAGAAGACGGGGUUGGCCGAGGCAGCCCGCACGCUGCUGCUUGCGAGCGCUCGAGUCAAAGCUAGGGCCAACCGCGGCUUGUCCGGGUGCCCUAAGGGGGCGGACACUUGGUUUAGCACCGGGACACAGAAUAGCCACCGGGGUAGGAAGAUGCGUUCACUUUGCUUACCUGUUGGCAAGAGGGACAUACAAAAAUAACGUAACGUGACAUCGUUGACAACGGUAGCUCUUUGAUUACACAAAAGCCAAUUUUACCUUCCCGCAAAAGCCAGUUGACGCCUUUGGAACUUUUAUUUGCGGCAUUUUGGCGCCCUCUGGCUGUGUUUGGAUCGCUUUCAUGCUCGCCUGCGUCCCAGCCAAGAAAAAAUCGAUGGAGCUGCAGGUUGUCCUCAGGAUGGUUCUGCCCUCAGGACCUGGGCGUGAAUUCAGGGACAGGGUGGCCCUCCAGAACCGGAGUGACAAACUGUAACCAUACUUAGGGAGGCAGACGUCAAAGGCAAGUACAUCUGUAUUCAACUGGGUAAAGCCAUGUGAAGACGUGCCUGCCUCCCUGUUACCUUCCACCAUGAUUGUAAGCUUCCUGAGGCCUCCCCAGCCAUGCCUGCUGUAUAGCCUGCAGAACAGAAGCGUUCCACUGUAAAGGAGCAACUUGACAGGCUGAGCCUGGCGGUGACAGCAUACAGGAUGGGCGCAGCCCCCACAUCUGGGUCAUUUCGUGUCAUCAUGUCUGGAAUAUCAAGUUUGAGCACGUAUGCAGCAAGGAUACCCUUCAACUAAAAGUUGCAUCCUCAAAUUGGGGCUUUCUAACUCAGCGUGGCGAUGUUGUGGAUCAGGUCAAAAGUGCUUUUCCUUAGAGCCAAGUUGAGAGUUGAGAGGCCUCUGCCACCUGCAUCUGUGCUUAUGAGCAACACAUGUGGUCUCGGAGGGGGCUUCGGCGAGCACAAACUCCAGCAUUGUCAUUCAGAACCCAGGACAAAGCCUUUCACACUUGCACGACAUGUGCUUUCUGAAAUGAAUGCAACUGCAUACUUCCUUCUUGAGCUCGCAGUAAUGAAUGACUUCACAGAUGGAUGGAUGAUCUUGUGGCUGGCUACAAAGAAUAGACUAAAACCCGCGGAAAUGCAGAUAGAUUAAAAAGGAGUGACAGGAUUAAUGAAAAUAAAACGCAGACCUUAUAAGCAGACGCUGUGAUUUUGUAAUAAAGAGGGGCAGCUUUUACAGGAAAAAGAACCCGAGGGAAGCUGUUGGCAGUCUGUGAAACGACGGUCAUGGUGGAAUUCGUUUUUCUGCACAUUAGAUGUUUAAAACAGCUGGUUUUCGUUGUUGUUGUUGUUGUUGUUUUCCUGAAAGAAUCUUGUUCCCCACAAUAUGUUCUUGGUAUUCAAAAUGGCUUUUGCUCCUACUUUUUGGAAAAUGCACUUCAGUUUCCAAUUUAUUCAUUUGUUAGUGGGUUCAUCAAUUAGUUUAUUCAUCAAUUAGUUCAUCCAUUGUGGAAGACAGUGUGGCGAUUCCUCAAGGAUCUAGAACCAAAAAUACCAUUUGACCCAGCAGUCCCAUUACUGGGCUUAUUGAAGUCUCCUAAUGUGAAUUUCUACUCCUGGACAUAAUACCUUCUUCUCAGAAAUAAGACAGAGUUUUCCCCUGCACUUCUUUAUAUGCUUUUUUCUCUGACUUUUGCCAUGUGGUUUUGUUUCUCCCAUGGCUUGAAAGAGCAGGAAAACUGAAGGUACCAACUGAAAGUGCUGCUUCCUGCUUUUGGUUUUCCUUCAUUUUAUUUCAUUUUUCAAGCUGAGUCUCACUCUGUUGCCCAGGCUGAAAUGCAGCUCAACCAUCACGGCUCACAGCAGCCUUGACCUCCUGAGCUCAAGCAGUCCUCCUUCCUCAGCCUCCCGAGUAGCUAGGACCAUAGGUGUGCACCGCCACCCUUAGCUUUUUUUUUUUUUUUUUUUUUGUAGAGACAGAGUCUCCCUAUGUUUCCCAGACUCGGUGUUUUUCAAAUAUUUGAAAAUGUAAAAGCCAUUCUUAGCCCACAGGCUGUACAAAAACAGAUGGAGGGCCAGAUUUAACCCAUGGGCAGUGGUUGGCCAAACCCUUGUGUAUCCCAUGCCAUGCCCUACUAUUCCAGACUUAAAAGUUAUAAUUUUAGGAUAAACUUGUUAUAUUUUUGUCAUGUCAGAAGACUGAGUGUAUACAUUUUCUUUUUUUUUUUUUUGACGGAGUUUUGCUCUGUCCCCCAGGCUGGAGUGCAGUGGGGUGAUCUCGGCUCACUACAACCUCUGUCUUCCGAGUUCAAGUGAUUCUCCUGUCUCAGUCUCCUGAGUAGCUGGGAUUACAGGCUCAUGCCACCAUGCCCAGCUAAUUUUUGUAUUUUUAGUAGAAACGGGGUUUUGCCAUGUUGGCCAGGCUGGUCUCGAACUCCUGACCUCAGGUGAUCCACCUGCCUAGGCCUCCCAAAGUGCUGGAAUUACAGGCGUGAGCCACUGCACCUGGCCUGAGCAUAUACAUUUUCAUAGGCAAAAACAUACCUUGGAAAUACUUCUCAGGAAUGUGCACAUAUGAAUUACAAAAUGUAAAAAGCUUCAACUCCAUUAUGAACUGUAAAUGCAUGUGGCAGGAGGCGAUCCUCAUAGAAGCUGUCAGGGCGUGACUUCAUUCUAGAUGCUGUAAGUAGCAAUAAUAAAAGAGGAAGCAAACACGUGCAGCUUCUGGAAUUCAGACCCUGGAGGAAGGAGACAGGUGGCCUUGAGUGAGGAUAUGAGGAACACAGUCAAGGAGAAAAUGCAGCUGGUGAAUUAUAAACAUCCAUGGGCAGACAUAGAAAGUUAGGAACCCCAGCCCUCUAAUGGAACCAAGAAACCAGAGGCCAGUAGGAAACGGCUCCAGGAAGAGCGAAACUUGAUAAAUGUCCUAGACGUCAGUGAGAAAGAUCCGUUUGUUUUGUUUACACUGAAAAUUUUUAAAUUGCAUGACUAUUUAGAGCACUUUUACAUUUUUUGCCUAGAAUUAGAUCCAAAGAAUAAAUGACCUAUUGAGCCUGAAGGGAUUUUAGGAAAAAAUAACUUUUUUAAAAAAAUAUGUUUUUUUGUUUUUUGUGUUUUUUUUUUGAGACAGAGUCUCGCUCUGUCACCCAGGCCGGAGUGCAGUGGUGCUAUCUUGGCUCACUGCAAGCUCUGCCUCCCGGGUUCACGCCAUUCUCCUGCCACAGCCUCCCAAGUAGCUGGGACUACAGGCAUCUGCCACCACCCCCGGUUAAUUUUUUUUUUUUUUGUAUUUUUAGUAAAGACGGGGUUUCACCGGGUUGCCCAAGAUGGUCUCGAUUUCCUGACCUCAUGAUCUGCCAGCCUUGGCCUCUCAAAAUGCUGGGAUUACAGGUGUGAGCCACCAUGCCUGGCCUAAAAAAUAUAUAUUUUUUAAAAAAUAAAGACAAGGGUCUCACUAUGUUGCCCAGCUUGGUCUUGAAAUCUUGGGCUCAAGUGAUCCUCCUGCCUUGGCCUCCCAAAGUGCUAGGAUUACAGACAUGAGCCACUGCACCAGGCCAAGAAAAAGUAUCUUAAUGACAUAUUUUCAUUUGUGUUUUUCUUCAG
rnacentral:lncRNA from 1 species